UACGAAGGGGGCUAGCGUUGCUCGGAAUCACUGGGCGUAAAGGGUGCGUAGGCGGGUCUUUAAGUCAGGGGUGAAAUCCUGGAGCUCAACUCCAGAACUGCCUUUGAUACUGAGGUAUCUAGUUCGGGAGAGGUGAGUGGAACUGCGAGUGUAGAGGUGAAAUUCGUAGAUAUUCGGAAGAACACCAGUGGCGAAGGCGGCUCACUGGUCCGGUACUGACGCUGAUGUGCGAAAGCGUGGGGAGCAAACAGG
rnacentral:rRNA from 1 species